UGAAUACGAGAUGCUACGGCGUCGAAGCAGUCUAUGUCAUACUUCCAAGAAAAGCUCGCACUGUCAUAAACAAAUAAUGCCUGUACCAUAACCGACACAGGUGGGUAGGUAGAGUAUACUAAGGGGCGCGAGAUAACUCUCUCUAAGGAACUCGGCAAAAUGACUCCGUAACUUCGGGAGAAGGAGUGCCUUAUUUAUAAGGUUGCAAUAACAAGAUCCAAGCAACUGUUUAUCAAAAACACAGGUCUCCGCUAAGUCGUAAGACGAUGUAUGGGGGCUGACGCCUGCCCAGUGCCAGAAGGUUAAAGAAGUUGGUUAGCAUUCGCGAAGCUGAUAACUGAAGCCCUGGUGAACGGCGGCCGUAACUAUAACGGACCUAAGGUAGCGAAAUUCCUUGUCGGGUAAGUUCCGACCCGCACGAAAGGCGUAAUGAUUUGGAUACUGUCUCGGAGAGGGGCUCGGUGAAAUAGACUUGUCUGUGAAGAUGCGGACUACCUGCACCAGGACAGAAAGACCCUAUGAAGCUUUACUGUAACUUGAGAUUGAAAUUGGACUUUACUUGCGCAGUAUAGGUGGGAGGCGUUGAUAAUAUUCUUGCGGGAUUAUUUGAGCCAUCAGUGAGAUACCACUCUUGUAAUGUUAGAUUUCUAACUUUGUAUCAUUAUCUGGUCAAAGGACAGUUUCAGGCGGGCAGUUUGACUGGGGCGGUCGCCCCCUAAACGGUAACGGAGGCGCACAAAGGUUUCCUCUGAACGGGUAGAAAUCGUAUCUAGAGUGUAAAGGCAUAAGGAAGCUUGACUGUGAGACCUACAAGUCGAGCAGGGACGAAAGUCGGUCUUAGUGAUCUGACGGUGCUGAGUGGAAAGGCCGUCACUCAACGGAUAAAAGUUACUCUAAGGAUAACAGGCUGAUCUCCCCCAAGAGUUCACAUCGACGGGGAGGUUUGGCACCUCGAUGUCGGCUCAUCGCAUCCUGGGGCGGUAGUACGUCCCAAGGGUUGGGCUGUUCGCCCAUGAAAGCGGUACGCGAGCUGGGUUCAGAACGUCGUGAGACAGUUCGGUCCAUAUCCGGUGUAGGCGUUAGAAUAUUGAGAGGAGCCUUCUUUAGUACGAGAGGACCGAGAAGGACAUACCUCUGGUGUACCAGUUAUCGUGCCAACGGUAAACGCUGGGUAGCUAUGUAUGGAGUGGAUAACCGCUGAAAGCAUCUAAGUGGGAAGCCCACCUCAAGAUAAGUAUUCC
rnacentral:rRNA from 1 species